rnacentral:tRNA from 1 species
GGGCCGCGCGCCACUGGUGUGCGGGUGUGCCUGGCAGGCACACCGUGAAGGGUUCGAUCCCCUUGCGGUCCACC